UUUCGAUAUUAUAUGUUUAGUCCC
rnacentral:siRNA from 1 species